rnacentral:rRNA from 1 species
GAUGAACGCUGGCGGCGUGCCUAAUACAUGCAAGUCGAGCGAACGGACGAGAAUCUUGCUUCUCUGAUGUUAGCGGCGGACGGGUGAGUAACACGUGGAUAACCUACCUAUAAGACUGGGAUAACUUCGGGAAACCGUAGCUAAUACCGGAUCAUAUUUUGAACCGCAUGGUUCAAAAGUGCAAGACGUUCUUGCUGUCACUUAUAGAUGGAUCCGCGCUGCAUUAUCUAGUUGGUAAGGUAACGGCUUACCAAGGCAACGAUGCAUAGCCGACCUGAGAGGGUGACCGGCCACACUGGAACUGAGACACGGUCCAGACUCCUACGGGAGGCAGCAGUAGGGAAUCUUCCGCAAUGGGCGAAAGCCUGACGGAGCAACGCCGCGUGAGUGAUGAAGGUCUUCGGAUCGUAAAACUCUGUUAUUAGGGAAGAACAUAUGUGUAAGUAACUGUGCACAGCUUGACGGUACCUAAUCAGAAAGCCACGGCUAACUACGUG